AUUAAAAACAGUGACACGUUAGCUAGUAGCUAGGCUACCUUUCUCACUUACUCCAGGUGAAUUGUAGGUUAUCUAACUGUUAAGAGUUUAAUUCCGACUUUUAAACCGACACAACCUUAUUUUUUUAUGUACAUAUGAUUAAUUUUCCGUGUUGCUCCGAACUUGUUCUUGCUAAAAGUUGAUGCUAACAGACAAGCUAAUAUUAACGUCAUAUUACUUCGCUUUUUUUUUAUUUCACGUCCGAGAAGACGGGCAGCUGGAAAUUUUUUGUCAAGCUUCAACUUUGGCGCAGCGGCUAAUUCUGGAAAGAUGCUGAGGUUUUUUCUCAAGAGACUGGAGUUAAUAGUAACACGAGACAUGAGUGCAGCAGUCAACCACAGGUCAGACCAGCCGAUGCCGGGAACUCUGUCCCUGAGGGACUGCAAGGUCAGCAGCUGCUGUGACAGACUAAGCUUACCAAAUCUGCAGUUUGCAAAAUUUUAAUCUUUACUAGCUACUACAACAUGCUUACAUGUAUUUUAAAAAAAGGGAAAUGUGGUAAAACCAGUGGUGAAGUAACUGAGCUGCUUUGCGCCAUUUGGGUGACUCAUUUCCACAAGAAUGUGUGCUUAUUGAUGUGGUUUAUAGUGAAAGUGGCGGCCAAAAAAACUCAAGUUUUACAGGCACGUGCUCAGCUCUCUGCCUGACUGUACAGUCUCAGUCACAGAUCAACGUGGAUUCAGUCAAAAUACACAUAUAGGUUUAUUUAUGACAUUAUGGGAACCUUUUAUCACAUAUAUGUUGUUCACAUGAUGAGUAUUUACAUGUUUAAAAUUGCACCGCGCCUCACUUGAAUCCACAUAAAUUCAUACUAACUUUAAAUGCUUUAUAAUAAUUUACAAGUUAAUAUUUAAUAAUGAUAACAAUAGAUUAACCUUUUUUAUUCCUAAUUUUUUUUAAUCUCUAUUA